GACGAACGCUGGCGGCGUGCUUAACACAUGCAAGUCGAACGGUAAGGCCCUUCGGGGUACACGAGUGGCGAACGGGUGAGUAACACGUGGGUGAUCUGCCCUGCACUUCGGGAUAAGCCUGGGAAACUGGGUCUAAUACCGGAUAGGACUCCGGACUGCAUGGUCUGGGGUGGAAAGCGUUUGCGGUGUGGGAUAGGCCCGCGGCCUAUCAGCUUGUUGGUGGGGUGAUGGCCUACCAAGGCGACGACGGGUAGCCGGCCUGAGAGGGUGACCGGCCACACUGGGACUGAGAUACGGCCCAGACUCCUACGGGAGGCAGCAGUGGGGAAUAUUGCACAAUGGGCGCAAGCCUGAUGCAGCGACGCCGCGUGAGGGAUGACGGCCUUCGGGUUGUAAACCUCUUUCAGUAGGGACGAAGCGCAAGUGACGGUACCUACAGAAGAAGGACCGGCCAACUACGUGCCAGCAGCCGCAGUAA
rnacentral:rRNA from 1 species